AGUGAACGCUGGCGGUAGGCCUAACACAUGCAAGUCGAGCGGCAGCACAGUAAGAGCUUGCUCUUACGGGUGGCGAGUGGCGGACGGGUGAGGAAUACAUCGGAAUCUACUUUUUCGUGGGGGAUAACGUAGGGAAACUUACGCUAAUACCGCAUACGACCUACGGGUGAAAGCAGGGGAUCUUCGUACCUUGCUCGAUUGAAUGAGCCGAUGUCGGAUUAGCUAGUUGGCGGGGUAAAGGCCCACCAAGGCGACGAUCCGUAGCUGGUCUGAGAGGAUGAUCAGCCACACUGGAACUGAGACACGGUCCAGACUCCUACGGGAGGCAGCAGUGGGGAAUAUUGGACAAUGGGCGCAAGCCUGAUCCAGCCAUACCGCGUGGGUGAAGAAGGCCUUCGGGUUGUAAAGCCCUUUUGUUGGGAAAGAAAAGCAGCAGGUUAAUACCCCGCUGUUCUGACGGUACCCAAAGAAUAAGCACCGGCUAACUUCGUG
rnacentral:rRNA from 1 species